rnacentral:lncRNA from 1 species
UGGGCCAAAUAGGCCAAACAAAAUCUGGUCCAUGUCCUAAUGACCCAAUACAAAAAAAUAACAAAUAUCUGCACCAAGAAUAGGAAAUAAACAAAAGGCAAUAAAACAAAAAAGGAAAAGGCAAUCCCAAAUGCUCAAAUCUUAUGGAGAGCAGUAGAAGAGACAAAAGUUCAAGCUUUGAACUUGCUCCAACAAACUGCAACUAGUCUGAUCUUUAUUUCAUCUCCAUGGAUUUUGCAUUUGAGUAACUUGCUUCUUAAAAAAAGUAAGUCAAUUCUUGAAAAUUCAUUAUUUAUGAUCUAAGCUAGCACUUUCUUGAUUUCAUAUCAUCAAGUCAUCAAUUUAUCCUAUGAUUUGGUAGAUUUCAUUCUGCAGCAUCAAGAUCUCACGAGUCGUAGUAUAAUCAGACCAAAAGGAAAUUUUUUAUCAUACAAAUUAUGGAUCUUACAUGCCGAAGAAUUCCUAGUUGUUGCCGAAUCACUCAUCUUUUAUUUCGACUUUAAUUUCUUUUUAUCAAUUUCAUCUCCAUACCCAACGUUCCAUAAGAUAAACCUCAUGAAGAAGUUAAUACCUUUGUGUAAAUCUUAUUUAUAUUGGUGUGGUCAAUAAAUUGUAGAUCUAGUACUGCAACUAGCUCUUCUCUAUUGCUUGCUUCUUGUGUGUUGCAAGUCCUCUUAAUGAUGACCUAUCAUAUAGAUGACAGUAUGUUACUUACUUUUUCCCCGAUCUUCCAUCCGGUUCUCUUGUGAUGUUGGUGCUAAAUCUUAGAUUAGGUAAAUCAAUUUUGUCUGCAUUUUCUGAUAAUUUUGAAAUUGAAUUGUGCCAACAAAAUCAACAAUGUAGUUAGCUAAAAAUUUCCCCAAUAGGUUCCCUUCUAUAGAUGUGUAUUGGAUUUGACAAUUCCCUCUAGUUCUCUAGUAAUUAAUUCGGUCCACCUCCAUCAUUGUACUCCAAGGUUCAUUUCAUUCAUCAUUAUGUACCUCUUUCAUCAACAAAAUAUCCUUCUCUAUCACCACUGGAAUUUGAAUACUCCUAACUGUGCGCACACACUUGUAGUACUAGGAACAACCCCUGCUUUAGCAUAGAUGAAAUCCCUCGAUAGUUCCUAAUUGUAUAAGCUAUAGAACGUACUAAUACUUUGGUUGACUUUGGAUGCACCAUUUGUAAUACACUUGUACCAUUUUUAGUCUAGUGGUCUCCAUCAAAUAGUUGCAUAGACUACUGUGAAAUUGUAUCGCUCAAAAGAAUCAAUCAGUUCUGUUCAGGUAUGAGGGAUGUUCUUUAUCCAUGAAUAUCUUAUUUUUCCACUCAAUAUAAAUUCAAAUUUAUUUUACACAUCACUUUAUGCCUGGAUCAGGAUGACUCAAUACUAUUGGAGGCCUAAAGCCAAACAUUGAUGAGAGGACUUUUACAAAAAAAAAUUUCAAAAAGAAAAAAAAAGAUAUAAUAUAUAGUCCUAAUUUUUGCUUAAAAUAUAUAUUUUAACUUUUUGAGAUGUAAAGUUAUGAAUAAUUGUCUAAUAAUUAUUUUUUUCUAGUUAACACAUCUAAUUUCAAUAAAUAGUCAAAAAGCAAUUUAUGCCUGUGCAAUAAAAGAAUUAAGAAAAGUAACAUAACAUUCAAGAAAUAAUAGAAUAUGCCUAGAAUAUAUGCCUACACUAUUUUUUAACUGAGACUAUAAUACUGAAAACUGAAAUAAUUGAACUUGAUUUAAUAACUUGAUCUGAAAAUGAUAACAUCAUUCUUUAUAAACUACAAAUAGCUUUGAUAUAAAAAAAGUCAAAUCAACAAUAAUAAUGUUAUAAAGAAAGAUCUCUUGAACAUUUGAAGCUUUGAAGGUAUAAGAAUUGAAAGAAAAUAAAUAGAGAUCAAUGAAUUAUUUAUGUUGAUCGCAUAAACCAAGAAAGAAAAUGAAAAGUCUCAUUUUUAUUGAAAAGGUAAGAGGAAGAAUAACAAUUACCUUUUGUCCUUCCAUAUAUUUUAUUGUAUGCGUUAAUUGACUUUUUCCAAGACAUAUUUUUGUAAAAUUAAAAUUAAAAAGAACCUUUUCUUUGCAGUUAAAUAGGAGUAGUAGCUUUUCUUUUUUCAUUUUCUAUGUAUUAAGUACUUUUAUUUGGCAUAAAGUGAGGCCCCCAAUACUUCUUUCAAAGCUAAUCUUUUGUCAAAUCAAAAUGCAAAAGGUCUUGUUUCCUUUUUAGUGAAUAAAAAAAUUAGUUAUUUUUUUUUACCAAAGGUAUUAACUAGUGAUAUAAAGUGGGGCCCCAAAAAUUGGGGGUCUAAAGCCUAAGCUUCAGCAGCAUUACCAUAUGGCCGACUCUGGCCUGGACAUCUCUCCACCAUUUACUAUAAAGUUUCUCCACUUCCGUAUCUAUCAUAGUAUAAUUGAUUAGCAAGUUUUUAAAUUUCAAUAUUUAUUGUGUUUUGGCCCCACUUCUAGUCCCCUAAAAUCGAUAUUAAGGCAAAUUCUACCCGGACUAGGCUAAGGUAUCUAAAAUAACCUUUAGAUGUUAAAUGAACCACAAUUAGACCUAAGAGAGCAAUUUACCUAAAACAUGAGUAACUAAGUCAAUUAUGCCUAGUUGAUAGUUCUUUAAUAGGAUCAAUAACUCUAAUUAUAAUAGUUAUGCCUCCAAGACCUAAUUUCCAACCCAUAUCUAGUAAAUUAUUAUAAAUAUACUACUAUUAAUAUCAAUCUAAAAGAAGGAGAAUCCUAGCCUAUAUAGACACUGAAAAAAGCAUGGUGAAUUCACUAAAUCAUCGAUUUCCCUUUGCGAGAAGUUUCCACACGAUGCCACAUAAUCAAAAUAAUAAUAUAUUCAUCAAUAUGAGAACAAUGGUACCCAUAUUGUAUUUUUGUUCUUUGAGUUAAAAAUUACAAAAUCAAUCCCAUGUGGGACCUGCUUGUAGAAUCACACAAUGCGUCCCACAAUGCUCAAGGAACAUUUCCCCUCAAAAUGGGUAAAUUUUGAGCAAAAAUGGUGCUAAAAUCAACCCAUAAAAGUUCAAGGAAUUUUGUGAAAUAAUGUUGAAAUUAACCAUGAAAUUAAUGAAACUUAAUAAGAAUUCAGAGAAGAAAUGUGAAAUUCAAUUUCACAAACACCCCAAAAUCACCUAUUAAUGUCUCUGCUAAGAAUUAACACUCUCUAGGGUUCUACACUCUUAAACUUGUGUGAAAAUGGGAUAAAACUGAUCAAAGGGCCAUUUAAUGUCACCCAAAUAUUGCUUAAGAGGACACUAGGCUUCUUAAGCAGUCAUCGUUUUUGCGUCAAGGUGUCGCUUUUGCGAUAUCCACCUGGUAUGCACAUAUCACGUACGUGACCAUAAUGUCACUUAAGCGAUACUCCUUUAUAUCAUGGGUGACUCGCUUAUGCGACCCAAAGCUAUCAACCUAGUCUCUCAUGUGACUAGAUUUUUGCAAUUGUGGGCUCCACUUGAGCGACAAAAAUAGUGCUUAAGUUUAUACACCAGCUGAGUGGUGCAUCAGCAUAGCACUUAGAAUAUUCUAAGUCUCCGCCAAUCCCUUGAGAUUCAUUUGAAAUCCUAUGAAUGCAAAUGAACUAUGCUAUCCUAUAAAUUUUAAUGUUCUAGACUCAAUGGCGCGAUCGAAAUUCUCAUCCAGGGUUGUUUCAAUAAAAAGUGGGUCCCACUUCAAAAUGAGUCCAAAAUCCUUGGGACCUCUAUGUUCUAGAGCUGUUGAAACUAUUAGAAUUAGCAUACACGGUAGUUUUAUUAAAGUUUUUGCCUGAUAGGUAAUUCUUACCUUAAAUACUUCAAAAUAGGGAAUUGGCUCUAAAAAACAAACAAACUUCUUAGUAACUUAACUGUCAGUUCUAGCAAGUCAUAAAUGACUUGGUUCAGCUAUAGGAAAGCUCUAAAUGGAAAAAAUAUAUAGAAAUACAAAAAAUGACCUGGAGGGUCAUUAUUUUGAUGCAUUUAUACCUGAUUUCAUUUGAGCUCUUAUUUUACAUAUGAUUACUUUAUGCCUUACAUAUUCAAUGAAUUAUGGUUUAUUGAUGUCCCUUAUGUAAGAAACAACUUUUCAUGAUGUAGGUUUAGGUACUAUAGCUAAGAAAUCUCUUUAAUAAAAGCACAGGAUACUCAGUGGCUUUUGUUGACCUCUAAGUUGAUUCGGGGCUUUUCUGAAUCUCUAAUACCUAUUUGUAUUUCGUAUUAUAGUUAAGGAUAUGGUCAGUUCUUAUGUCUAUCAAAUCUAAGCUGUCAAUCUUCUAGAGGCUUCAUAGAUUAUUAUUAAAGUAAAGUGCAGUUAUGUCUUGUUAAUUUUUCAUUAAGUCCUCGGGUCAAGCUAUGUAUAUCUAUUUUGGGCCUCUCUAUAUUGGUAUUUUAUUAGGAUAUCCGACAUGUACUUUUCAAAUCAUUAUAAUUAUCAUAGUUACAUGGAUAGUAACAAAAAGUUAUAGGUUACUUCUGCUGGGCCUUUAGUGAACUGGGUGUCUUUUUCUCUCAGUGGGAUUUGACACGACAGAAAAUGUCUUCUUAAGGACAUCAACAACUAAAAAUAUGGGUUCUACACAGAGGAAAGGAAUCAUACAACUAAAAAAUAUUGUGAAUAAAUAAUGGGCAAGAAGCUUAGAACAUACCUAAUAGAGGGAACAAGUAAGAAUAACUUUUCUUUAUAUGCUCCUCCUCUUUCUACAUUGCUUCCUCAAAAUUUUGAUUAUGCCACAAGAUCUAAAUUAAAGCUACAACCUUAGUUCUCAACCUUCUAACUUGAUGAUCUAGGAUUUGAAUAGGAUCUUCUUAAUAAGAUAAUUAAUCAUUGACUCCAUCCUCCUCAUGCAAGAAGAUAUAAGAAAGAUCAAGUUCAUACAACCUUGAUAUAGAUAAAUGAAAGAUUUAAUGUACCACAGACAUUUUAGAUGGCAAUUUCUAUUUAUAUGCCACCUUUUCAAUUCUUCACGAGAUCUCAUAAUGGAAAAUAAUCAAGGACUAAUCUUACCUUUUCUACAAAAAUGUGUCACACAUUUUCUAAGUGAAAUCUUCAACAAUAUUUGGUCAUCUACAAACUAACUCUUUACAUAUUAUAUCAGUAUAAGACUUUUGUCGACUUUGAACAGUUUUGAGUUGUAAUGACCUUAUUUGUGAAAUUUUUCUUUUGAUGUGGUUUGACUUUUUUUGCUUUCCCGUUGUUACUACAUGUUGAAUUCAGUGUGUGAGGUUGGUUAGAAUGGUUCCCAAUGCUUUUAAAAGCAUUUUUAGGAGAGUUUAAGGUGUUUAGGGGCUUUAAUAAUCCUACAGUUGACUUCGGUAACAUUUAAUAUUUUGAGUACAAUAUGGCAAUUUUGACAGUUCCAUUAGAUCUUGAAUGUUAAAUUUGAUUUAGUAGUAGGGUUGCUUUGUGUUCUGAACCUGCAGUUUGCAUCUCGGCCCUUCAUACAAAAAACUAGUGUAAUUUGCCUUCAAGGGGCCCCAAGGGUUAAUUUCAUGAAAAUUUAUCUUUUUUCAAAAGUCUACAUCACGAUUGAGUCCAUAAUGUUGAAUUUAUUUUAGUAGCAUAGUCAUUUCAUUCAUAGGAUUUUUAAAUGAAUCCUGAAGUGUAGAUCAAUAAAUUUACAACAUAGCAAAGUUAUUGAUGUAGCUAAAGAUAGUGCAACUACUUUGGCGGCAAAAAGACCGCUUUAGCAGUAGCCUCUUUAGUGGCAAAGCACCUUAAGCGAUCAUUAGUUAACCAGCCAUCCACCUCUAAAGACAAUACUUUACCUCUUUUGUGGGUACUGCGUUAGUAGAAAGGAACCACUUUACCAAAGCUAUCCAUAUAGGAUAGACCGUUUUAGCAGUCAUCAUUCACUUAAGCGGUGGCUACUUUUGUCACGAUCCAAAAACAAAGGUCAUGAUGGCACUUGUCGUGGCAAGCCAUGACAAGUAAUCCUAUAACCCAAAAUAAUUUGAAAAGAAGAAUCAAUACCAAAACUUAAGCUUAUACUCUUAAAAAAUAGUUGAAGUACACAUACAUACCAAAAAUGAGAAAUAUACAACCAAAGGUACCAUACUAUAUCCCAAAACCUGAUGUCACAGUGUAAUAACUACUAAAUACAUCUCAAAUGUCAAAAUAUACAAUAACAGUUUGAAAAAGAUCAAACCUAUAUCCAUGAUAUAAAAUAUGACAUGUAAUAGAUAUGGAGGUAGUAGAUCAUCUUCAAAAGCCUAGAUCAACUACUACCUUGAAUAUACUCUGGAUACCACCUGAAUCAACUAUCAUGUGGUGUAUUUGUACCUAAAUUGUCACAAAAAGGAAUAGGGGUGAGUACGAUCCACUUAAAAUCAGUAGGUAUCAUAGGCCGUCUGAGUAAAGUAGAAAUUAAACCAUAUAAACAUAAACUAUAGACAUGUAACCUGUAAUUAGAAAAUGUCCCUAAUGGUCUUCCACACCAUCUCCACUAAUAAUUCUAUAAAAUUCACAUAUACUACACAAAAAUAUGAGGAAGGAGCAUAGGUAUACAAAUAUCACACAUAAACGUAUAGAAAAAGAUGUACAUAUAGACAAAUAUCACAUAAAAAACUAUAAUACAACACAGAAUAAGAACAAUAUAUAUGAGAUACAAUGAAAAUGAAGAUCAUGAUGAAGAUGAACCUGAUUAUGAAGAUGAUGAUGAUGAUGUGAUGCUCGAGGUUAUCGCACAACCUCCAUAUGCACCUACCAAGCUUUACUUCUAGGUAGGAUCCAAGGGGCGUUCGUCAACCCAUAUACAACCAAAUAUCCAAUACCAAUAUCUGUAACUCCUCUUUGGCAUAUACAUCACCAAAGGGUUUUUAAAACUAUCACAUUUUUUUUUCCAGAAAAGUCAUUAUUUCCAUAGUGGUACCAUGCUUCAUGCAUGUAUGACAUAAAAUACAAAUCAACACAAUAUAAAAUAAUAGCAUGUGCAUACAAUAUAAGAUGUAAUAAGAAUGAUGAUGAGAUACACAAGGUUGUUGCACAACCUCUGUAUAUACCUACCAUUGUGCUCCUAAUAUAGGGCCCGUAGGGAGAUAACAAUCCAUUACAACAAUAUCCAAUACAAAUAUCUAUAAUUUCUCUCUUUCACAUACAUUGACAAAGGGUUUUUAAACAUAUUAUUUUUUGUCAAAAACACUAGUGUUUUAAGUAUUUUCAAUAUUUCCACAGUGGUAUCAAUAUUUCAUAAAUGAAUAUGAUAUGAAGAUAAAAUGUUCAGAACCAACCAAAAUGAGAAUUUCCAAUAUCCAACCAAUAAAUCAACCAUGUAAGCCAAAAAUUCACUCAAAUUAACCAACCAUCCAUAAUCCAAUAUAAUUCAAAAAUCAUCAAGUCAAAUGUACAAGUAAAAUGUCAUUGAAACCAUAUGAAUCCCGAAAUUUAGGUUUUUUCCACCAAAGGGAGUACUACUAAACAUACAUAUAUAUCAAUAUCAGGCCAAUAAUAUCAUGUAAGACCUAUCACAGUCACAGAUAGAAAAUGAUGUUUCAAAACCACAUAAUAUCAACCACAUAAGCCCCCAUACGGGCAUAAAAAUCACAUUAACACAUUUUCUACGAUACAACCCCAUACUCAUAGCAUGCUUUUACAUUAUUAUUAACUACCUAACCUUGUCUGAACCAAGUUAAGUCAUAACCUACCUUAAAUGUUGAAAACCUGUCCAAAAAUCCUUCAACCUAGAGGUUUUACCUCACGAACGGACUCGUAAUAUACUAAAAUUUACAAAGACUAUGCAUAAAAUGAAAGCUAAUGAUACUCAUAUUGCCCAAUUCUUAGUCGGGGUCAAAAUGGACCCCCAAAAUGCAUUUUAAAAAAAGGGUAAAGUCAUAAUUUUAUUUUAAAAACAUGUUCCCUAUACUUAUAGGAGUCUAAAGCUAAAAACCUAUUUAAAACGAGUUAAAAAUAAGGUUCAAUUAAAAGGAAAACCAUUUUCAAGCUUGGCCGACAAAUACUCCCAAAACCUAUUUUAAAAUCAAGAAUCUGAAAUUUUUUUGAAGAUAAAAUUGAGAGAAACAUGAUAAUUCUAAUAUUAAGAACUUACCCAUGAAAGAAAUCUCAUGAACUUCUUUGGAAUUGCCCAAAUCCGAACUCCCAAGCCUCCGAAAUGGUUAAAAGGGGUUUUGAUCCUCAACUUGGGUGAAAAUCAUGAUAAAUAACAUAUAAUUUCUUCAUAAAUAGGGAAAAUAGAGUUAUGAGUUGACAAAUAAUGAUUCUACAAGAAAAAUACAUCAAAAAUCAUCAAAAUCAGAGCUUCCAAGCUCCUUAAAUGUCAAAAAUACAAAUUUGGGUAUUUGCCACGACGCAAUUUCUCAAGUCAUGAUGGCGCCUACUUUAACCCACCAAUGAAAAGCCAAACCUGUAGUCCAAAAUGGCUAGUAACGGGAUACCCAAAGAGACAAAGGAAAGAAUGUUGAAUAGAUAUAAUAAAAGAUCAACAGAUAAUAUAAUGCCAAAACCUGAUGGUAUCAAUAGAUAAUAUAAUCCUAAGAUCUCCUAAUAUAAUAAGAGUACAAAAAUAAAAUACCAAGGGAAUUACACAAUUGAAACUCAUAUCCAAAUAAAACAUAAAGAUUAUUCUAGUACAUAAGAAGGAGGUAAGUAAUACUCUAAAUGUCAAGAGCUCACUCUAGGUCUCCGAACCAUGCCUGCACCGCACGAUGCAGACAUCAACAACAAUAAUACAUACUAUGAUCUACAGGACGCAAAAGUGCAGUAUGAGUACCAAACACGUGGUACUCAGUAGUCAACUGCCAACUGAGCUCCAAAGAUAACUACAACCAAAUGUCCAGCAAUAAUAUAAUAAAGCUAGUGACAUAGUAAGGACAACUACUCUACUCAUAGUAACUAUACAAGAAUAAUAAGGCUAAGGAAGUAUCAAGGAUGAACUAUCCUAUUCUAACCAUACUCAUGAAUCUCAAAGCUACACUGUAUAUCCAAUGCCAAUAUAUGAAUAAAGGGUAAAAGAAGGAUAUAAUUAUUUUCAAGGCAAAGGAAUAAAUAUAUAAACUGAAUAAAUGAAGAAAGGAAAGGAUAGAAGGUAAUACCAUAGCUACAUAUAGCUAGAUAUACAUACAUAUGUAAAUAUAUGUAUGUAUAUAUAUAAAUAAGGUCAACUUGAAGCACAACAUAAAUCAUCAUAUCUUUAUUUUUAAGACCUCAUAAUCCUAGCAGGGUUUAGUACUAACAUACUCAGGGUUUCUAAUCCAUAAAUUUAAUCAUUAGUUAAUCAUGCAUAAUAAUGAAAUCAUAAGAUAGAAGAGACCAGAAUCAUAUCUCAAAUCUCAAUAUUGAAUCAAUAACCAAUUUGUCAAAAACUAUCUAUAACAAUAAUCAUAACAAUGAUAAUAACAAUAUCAAUGACAAUACGAGUAACCGGCUAGUCCGGACAACCAAUACCUAGCCGAGCCUUUCACGUACCUCAACCACCCUAGGAUUAGAAGGUUCAAUCAACAAAAAAAACACUACAAGGCAUAGUAAUCACCCAUUUCUAUGCAACCCCUAUAUAGGAAAAUAGAUAUAAGCGCAUACUAGUGAUAGGCAAUGUGCAUGGAAAGAUAAAUGCAACAGAAUCCACAAUACCAUAAUUGAUCCUAGUAUCAUAGAAUAUCCACACUAAAAUUGGUGAUUAUAAUCAAUAUCAUAAUAUUAUCAUCAUCACUAUCACCAUUAUAGCCAUUGUCAUCAUAAUAAUCCUUCGUCCUUGCUGGAUAUAUAUAAUUGCCAUAUAUAGGGUUAGUCGUGCUCGAACCGGUAGAUGUACACAUAGGAAUAUCAAUAUUAUCAUCCUCUGGACUUGUCAGAUAUAUUAUCAUAAUCAUUCUUCGGACUUUCUAGAUAUUAAUAUCAUCAUUACAAUAUCCUUCAGCUUUGUCGGGUAUCAAUAUAUCAUCACAAAAUCCUUCGGCCUUGCUAUUUAUAUUAUAAUAUAAUCAUAGUCAUCUUUCGGCCUUGUUUGGGUAUAUAAUCAGUAUGACCAUAAUUAUUAGCACAUAUAUAUAACAUCAAUACUAAAAUAUAUCAUUGGGUUUCAAACAAAAUUAUAUCACUAGUACUGCAUCUUCCUCUAUUUUUUAUCGGAGAGAUGUUUCUAUUGAUAUAUAAUAGGUGCACAGACUUAAGUUGUGGUUAAAAGGUGUAUGAAUCAAUAAAUCCAUUGCCCAGAGUGAACUUUGAGUAAAUCAUUAUAAAAGUGUCAAAAGGGUCGGGAUCUCAGAUGACCAUAGUAAUUAAUGGUAUCAAUUCUUAGACCAAAAUCUAUCUCGGUCAAAUUCUUAAAACAUCAUUAUUAAUAUCUUUUAAAUAUAAGUUAUCCAUUAAGAUAGGAAGUUAAAACUAUGAAGAAAUUUGUUUUUAAGGUGAAAAGUGGGCUUUAACCCUUAUUUAGGAAAAAUAAUAUUAAGAUCAUAUUUUAGCUAGAAUCACAUCAUUUAAUAAUUUAAUGAUAAUGAAUGUACCAAAUCUAUGCAUGACAACACCAGUAUUCAAAUAAUUUAACCAUAAUCAUCAAUGUUCAUAAAGAACAACCAUAUCCUUUACAAUGAUAAACACUUUCUGGAUGUUCAACCUAUAUCAUAACAUAGACUUUGGCCUAAUAAUAUGUCUAAAAUAAUCACAACAUCAUAAACAAGGCCUUAGGACACAUACAUAUCCAGAUCUCAUAUCAAUAGUCUUAUUUAUAAGUUAUCUCAUAUUUAUAAGCAACAGCAUAACAAUAAGGCAUGUCAUAUCUAUUGACUAUCAAUCGUAUCUAUGAGGCAUAACUUAUCUAUAAGCCAUAAGGCAUAUGUAUAACCAUCUCACAUCUAG